rnacentral:misc_RNA from 1 species
GAUGAAGAACGUAGCGAAAUGCGAUAAGUAGUGUGAAUUGCAGAAUUCAGUGAAUCAUCGAAUCUUUGAACGCACAUUGCGGCCAUAGGUAUUCCUUUGGCCAUGCCUGUUCGAGCGUCAUUUACACCCUCAAGCCUAGCUUGGUGUUGGGCGUCUGUCCCGCCGUUUUCGCGCGCGGACUCGCCUCAAAGUCAUUGGCGGCGGUCGUGCCGGCCCCCUCGCGCAGCACAUUUGCGCUUCUCGGAGGCCCGGCGGAUCCGCGCUCCAGCAAGACCUUUCACGACUUGACCUCGGAUCAGGUAGGGAUACCCGCUGAACUUAAGCAUAUCAAUAAGGAGGA